AUUGAACGCUGGCGGCAUGCCUAACACAUGCAAGUCGAACGAGUGGCGGACGGGUUAGUAAUGUCUGGGAAACUGCCUGAUGGAGGGGGAUAACUACUGGAAACUGUAGCUAACACCGCAUACCAUCAGAUGUGCCCAGAUGGGAUUAGCUAGGUGGUGGGGUAACGGCUCACCAAGGCGACGAUCCCUAGCUGGUCUGAGAGGAUGACCAGCCACACUGGAACUGAGACACGGUCCAGACUCCUACGGGAGGCAGCAGUGGGGAAUAUUGGACAAUGGGGGAAAGCCUGAUGCAGCCAUGCCGCGUGUAUGAAGAAGGCCUUCGGGUUGUAAAGUACUUUCGGCAGGGAGGCGUUACCCGCAGAAGAAGCACCGGCUAACUCCGUGCCAGCAGCCGCGGUAAUAC
rnacentral:rRNA from 1 species